GACGAACGCUGGCGGCGUGCCUAACACAUGCAAGUCAACUUGACUGAAGGAGCAAUCUGACAGUAGAGUGGCGCAAGGGUGCGUAACGCGUAAGUAACUUGCCCAAGGUAAGGAAUAACGUCGAGAAAUCGGCGCUAAUACCUCAUAAUGCAGCGGAUCCGCAUGGAUAUGUUGUUAAAGGUUUACCGCCUUGGGAUAGGCUUGCGUCUGAUUAGCUAGUUGGUGUGGUAACGGCACACCAAGGCUACGAUCAGUAACUGGUCUGAGAGGAUGAUCAGUCACACUGGAACUGAGACACGGUCCAGACUCCUACGGGAGGCAGCAGUGAGGAAUAUUGGGCAAUGCUCGAAAGAGUGACCCAGCAACGCCGCGUGGAGGAUGAAGGUAUUCUAUAUCGUAAACUCCUGUGAGAGCAGACGAAAG
rnacentral:rRNA from 1 species